rnacentral:rRNA from 1 species
AAGGUGCUGCAUGGCUGUCGUCAGCUCGUGCCGUGAGAUGUUGGGUUAAGUCCCGCAACGAGCGCAACCCCUUGUCACUAAAUUGCCAUCAUGUAAUGCGGGCAAUUCUAUGGAAACUGCCGUCACAAAACGCAAGAAAGGAGGGAAUAAUUCCAAUCCUUCUGGGCCUUAAGGCCCGGGGUUCCCCCCUUGUUACAUGGGAGAGAACAAAGGUCUGCCACUUGCCAAGGAGAACCUAAUCCCAAAAACCUAUUCUCAUCUCAGAUUGCAGUCUGCAACUCGACUGCGUGAAAGCUGAAAUCCCUAGUAAUCCGAUAUCAGCAUGUGCAUCCGGGAAUAACUUCUCC